CCUACGGGGGGCUGCAGUGGGGAAUAUUGGACAAUGGGGGCAACCCUGAUCCAGCCAUGCCGCGUGUGUGAAGAAGGCCCUCGGGUUGUAAAGCACUUUCAGUGAGGAAGAACGCCUGGUGGUUAAUACCCAUCAGGAAAGACAUCACUCACAGAAGAAGCACCGGCUAACUCCGUGCCAGCAGCCGCGGUAAUACGGAGGGUGCGAGCGUUAAUCGGAAUUACUGGGCGUAAAGCGCGCGUAGGUGGCUUGAUAAGCCGGUUGUGAAAGCCCCGGGCUCAACCUGGGAACGGCAUCCGGCACUGGCAAGCUAGAGUGCAGGAGAGGACGGUAGAAUUCCCGGUGUAGCGGUGAAAUGCGUAGAGAUCGGGAGGAAUACCAGUGGCGAAGGCGGCCUUCUGGACUGACACUGACACUGAGGUGCGAAAGCGUGGGUAGCAAACAGGAUUAGAUACCCUAGUAGUC
rnacentral:rRNA from 1 species